rnacentral:rRNA from 4 species
CGGGAGAUAGCUGGUUCUCCCCGAAAGCUAUUUAGGUAGCGCCUCGUGAAUUCAUCUCCGGGGGUAGAGCACUGUUUCGGCUAGGGGGCCAUCCCGGCUUACCAACCCGAUGCAAACUGCGAAUACCGGAGAAUGUUAUCACGGGAGACACACGGCGGGUGCUAACGUCCGUCGUGAAGAGGGAAACAACCCAGACCGCCAGCUAAGGUCCCAAAGUCAUGGUUAAGUGGGAAACGAUGUGGGAAGGCCCAGACAGCCAGGAUGUUGGCUUAGAAGCAGCCAUCAUUUAAAGAAAGCGUAAUAGCUCACUGGUCGAGUCGGCCUGCGCGGAAGAUGUAACGGGGCUAAACCAU